rnacentral:rRNA from 1 species
UUUAAAGAGAGUUUGAUCCUGGCUCAGGACGAACGCUGGCGGCGUGCCUAAUACAUGCAAGUCGAACGAACGGAGGAAGAGCUUGCUCUUCCAAAGUUAGUGGCGGACGGGUGAGUAACACGUGGGCAACCUGCCUGUAAGUUGGGGAUAACUCCGGGAAACCGGGGCUAAUACCGAAUGAUAAAGUGUGGCGCAUGCCACGCUUUUGAAAGAUGGUUUCGGCUAUCGCUUACAGAUGGGCCCGCGGUGCAUUAGCUAGUUG